GUAGGGGGCAAGCGUUGUCCGGAUUUAUUGGGCGUAAAGAGCGUGUAGGCGGCCAAACAGGUCCACUGUGAAAACUCGAGGCUCAACCUCGAGAGGUCGGUGGAAACCGUAUGGCUAGAGUCCGGAAGAGGAGAGUGGAAUUCCCGGUGUAGCGGUGAAAUGCGCAGAUAUCGGGAAGAACACCCGUGGCGAAGGCGGCUCUCUGGGACGGUACUGACGCUGAGACGCGAAAGCGUGGGGAGCGAACAGGAUUAGAUACCCUGGUAGUCCACGCCGUAAACGAUGGGCACUAGGUGUGGCGGGUGUCGACUCCCGCUGUGCCGAAGCUAACGCAUUAAGUGCCCCGCCUGGGGAGUACGGCCGCAAGGCUA
rnacentral:rRNA from 1 species